rnacentral:rRNA from 1 species
GGACAACCUGCCCUUAGGUUGGGUAUAAACCCGGGAAACUGGGUAUAAUACCCGAUAGGUCUCGAUUGCUGGAAUGCAUCGAGAUUUAAAGCUCCGGCGCCUAAGGAUGGGUCUGCGGCCUAUCAGGUAGUAGUGGGUGUAGCGUACCUACUAGCCUACGACGGGUACGGGUUGCGAGAGCAAGAGCCCGGAGAUGGAUUCUGAGACACGAAUCCAGGCCCUACGGGGUGCAGCAGGCGCGAAAACUUUACAAUGCUGGCAACAGCGAUAAGGGAACCUCGAGUGCCAGGUUACAAAUCUGGCUGUCGAGAUGCCUAAAGAGCAUUUCAUAGCAAGGGCCGGGCAAGACCGGUGCCAGCCGCCGCGGUAACACCGGCGGCUCGAGUGGUAACCGUUAUUAUUGGGUCUAAAGGGUCUGUAGCCGGCCGGAUAAGUCUCUUGAGAAAUCUGGCAGCUUAACUGUCAGGCUUUCAGGAGAUACUGUCUGGCUCGAGGCCGGGAGAGGUGAGAGGUACUUCAGGGGUAGGGGUGAAAUCUUGUAAUCCUUGAAGGACCACCAGUGGCGAAGGCGUCUCACCAGAACGGACCUGACGGCAAGGGACGAAAGCUAGGGGCACGAACCGGAUUAGAUACCCGGGUAGUCCUAGCCGUAAACGAUACUCGCUAGGUGUCGGCCACGGUGCGACCGUUGUCGGUGCCGUAGGGAAGCCGUGAAGCGAGCCACCUGGGAAGUACGGCCGCAAGGCUGAAACU